rnacentral:ncRNA from 2 species
AGAUCUUUGGUAAUCUGAUGGCU